UGGUUACCAACCAACAAACCCAAGCAGAACGUACCUUUGUAGCUACUUCGUUGCUAGCACUUGUUUCAGUGCAGUGAAUGGUAACCCAUCUUUUAUUUAAACAUUAAACGAAGGGGGGCAUCUGGUAAGGCACAAUGGAGAAACCGGGGGAGUUCACGUGCCGUGACUGCCACAUGGCUUUCCACACUGCGGUGCUCCUGGACAAGCACCGAGCACGCUUCUGCCUUGGGAGUGACAUGGGAGACCCGGUGGUAUUGAGGCAGGGUCGUGUGGAGUACCGUGCACCUGAGACGGGGACCAUGAGAGGUGCUCAACCCGAAACCAGGACCAGGACAUCCGAACUUGUUCGUAUCAGAGAAAGAACCACUGACAGGGGUCACCCUGAUGAUGAGUGUCCCCUCCCACAGAGGGACAGUGGACCCCAGGUGAAAGUGCCAGACAGUUUCACCCAAAAGAAACUCAGCAGACAGGAUACGCCUGUUGUGCCAGAGCUCCUUCGGCCUCCUCAGAGUGAGAAGGUGCGACUGAUAUCAGAACAAUACGAGAGGCAGCUGGCUCAGAUCAGAGCUCACAACCAUCAACUACAGC
ensembl:lncRNA